AAUUUAUUCUACUCAUGCAAUCAGUGGAUGCCUUGGCAGUAAAAGCCGAAGAAGGACGUUUCAAGCCUGCGAAAGUUAUCGGGGAGGUGGCAAGAACUUAUGAUCCGGUAGUGUCCGAAUGGGGAAACCUAACCAGAUUUAUCUGGUUGUUACGCUUUGAUUUAUCAAAGUGUUUCGGGAACUUGGGGAACUGAAAUAUCUAAGUACCCAAAGGAAAAGAAAUCGAAUGAGAACCCCUUAGUAAGCGACGAGCGAACAGGGGCGAGUCUAAACCACGAAUUUAUUCGUGGGGUUGCAGGGCCAGACACAACUUAGUUUUUUCGAUAGAAGAACAAUUUGGAAUAGUUGACCAUAGGGGGUGAGAGUCCCGUAUUCGAAAUUGGAAAAACUAAAGUCUGGUACCUAAGUAAAUCUGGAGACGGCAAACUCUAGAUCGAAUCCGGGCCGACCACGGUCCAAGACUAAAUACUUUUACUGACCGAUAGUGAACUAGUA
rnacentral:ncRNA from 1 species